AAGUCGUAACAAGGUUUCCGUAGGUGAACCUGCGGAAGGAUCAUUACUGCUUGCUCACGAUGCCGCCCAGGAAACUGGGCGGGGUCGAGCAUGUUACCCUUGCCUUUUGUACCCUUUGUUAAUUCCCUCGGCGGGGCAUACCCGCCGCUAGGAACCACUAAACCCUCUUGUAUGAAGCAUCAAAACUUCUGAGCAAACCAAAUAAUCACAACUUUCAACAAUGGAUCUCUUGGUUCUG
rnacentral:misc_RNA from 1 species